UUUUUAUUUUAAAGGACCAAGGGCAUUAUCAAUAAAGCGGGGGGCCCCUCUUGGUCAUUUAGAGGAAGUAAAAGUCGUAACAAGGUCUCCGUUGGUGAACCAGCGGAGGGAUCAUUACCGAGUUUACAACUCCCAAACCCCUGUGAACAUACCUUAAUGUUGCCUCGGCGGAUCAGCCCGCGCCCCGAAAAACGGGACGGCCCGCCUUAGGACCCAAACUCUAAUGUUUCUUAUUGUAACUUCUGAGUAAAAUAAACAAAUAAAUCAAAACUUUCAACAACGGAUCUCUUGGUUCUGGCAUCGAUGAAGAACGCAGCAAAAUGCGAUAAGUAAUGUGAAUUGCAGAAUUCAGUGAAUCAUCGAAUCUUUGAACGCACAUUGCGCCCGCUGGUAUUCCGGCGGGCAUGCCUGUUCGAGCGUCAUUUCAACCCUCAAGCCCUCGGGUUUGGUGUUGGGGAUCGGCUCUGCCUUCUGGCGGUGCCGCCCCCGAAAUACAUUGGCGGUCUCGCUGCAGCCUCCAUUGCGUAGUAGCUAACACCUCGCAACUGGAACGCGGCGCGGCCAUGCCGUAAAACCCCAACUUCUGAAUGUUGACCUCGGAUCAGGUAGGAAUACCCGCUGAACUUAAGCAUAUCAAUAAGCGGAGGCACUCGCUGUCUUUUAGAAGGAAAAAAGGGGGCCCCUUGUUCGG
rnacentral:sRNA from 1 species